rnacentral:rRNA from 1 species
CUACGGGGUGCACCAGUAAGGAAUAUUGCGCAAUGGACGAAAGUCUGACGCAGCGACGCCGCGUGGGGGAUGAAGGUCUUCGGAUUGUAAACCCCUUUCGGCAGGGAAGAUGGAAUGGGGUAACCCAUUUGGACGGUACCUGCAGAAGCAGCCACGGCUAACUUCGUGCCAGCAGCCGCGGUAAUACGAAGGUGGCAAGCGUUGUUCGGAUUCACUGGGCGUACAGGGAGCGGAGGCGGUUGGGUAAGCCCUCCGUGAAAUCUCCGGGCCUAACCCGGAAAGUGCAGAGGGGACUGCUCAGCUAGAGGAUGGGAGAGGAGCGCGGAAUUCCCGGUGUAGCGGUGAAAUGCGUAGAGAUCGGGAGGAAGGCCGGUUGCGAAGGCGGCGCUCUGGAACAUUUCUGACGCUGAGGCUCGAAAGCGUGGGGAGCAAACAGGAUUAGAUACCCGUGUAGUC